AUUGAACGCUGGCGGCAGGCCUAACACAUGCAAGUCGAACGGUAACAGGAAGCAGCUUGCUGCUUCGCUGACGAGUGGCGGACGGGUGAGUAAUGUCUGGGAAGCUGCCUGAUGGAGGGGGAUAACUACUGGAAACGGUAGCUAAUACCGCAUAAUGUCGCAAGACCAAAGAGGGGGACCUUCGGGCCUCUUGCCAUCGGAUGUGCCCAGAUGGGAGUAGCUUGUUGGUGGGGUAAAGGCUCACCAAGGCGACGAUCCCUAGCUGGUCUGAGAGGGGGACCGGCCAAACUGGAACUGAGGCACGUUACAGACGCCGACGGGAGGACGCAGUAGGGAAUCUUCGGCAAUGGGCGAAAGCCUGAUGGAGCAACGCCGCGGGAGUGAUGAAGGUCUGCGGAUAGUAAAACUCUGUUAUUAGGGAAGAACAAAUGUGGAAGUAACUAUGCACGUCUUGACGGUACCUAAUCAGAAAGCCACGGCUAACUACGUG
rnacentral:rRNA from 1 species